rfam:Bacillus atrophaeus 1942, complete genome.
GGUGUAAACAUGAUGUAAUUUUUUCCUCCUUUUCAGGUUCGUUUCUAAGCCAGGGCGAACCUGCUUUUUUUGUUUUGUU